GAUGAACGCUGGCGGCGUGCCUAAUACAUGCAAGUUGAGCGAACAGACGAGGAGCUUGCUCCUCUGACGUUAGCGGCGGACGGGUGAGUAACACGUGGAUAACCUACCUAUAAGACUGGGAUAACUUCGGGAAACCGGAGCUAAUACCGGAUAAUAUAUUGAACCGCAUGGUUCAAUAGUGAAAGACGGUUUUGCUGUCACUUAUAGAUGGAUCCGCGCCGCAUUAGCUAGUUGGUAAGGUAACGGCUUACCAAGGCAACGAUGCGUAGCCGACCUGAGAGGGUGAUCGGCCACACUGGAACUGAGACACGGUCCAGACUCCUACGGGAGGCAGCAGUAGGGAAUCUUCCGCAAUGGGCGAAAGCCUGACGGAGCAACGCCGCGUGAGUGAUGAAGGUCUUCGGAUCGUAAAACUCUGUUAUUAGGGAAGAACAAAUGUGUAAGUAACUAUGCACGUCUUGACGGUACCUAAUCAGAAAGCCACGGCUAACUACGUG
rnacentral:rRNA from 1 species